rnacentral:rRNA from 1 species
GAUGAACGCUGGCGGCGUGCCUAAUACAUGCAAGUCGAGCGAACGGACGAGAAGCUUUCUUCUCUGAUGUUAGCGGCUGACGGGUGAGUAACACGUGGAUCACCUACCUAUAAUACUGGGAUAAUUUCGGGAAACCGGAUCUAAUACCGGAUAAUAUUUUGAACCGCAUGGUUCAAAAGUGAUAGACGGUCUUGCUGUCACUUAUAGAUGGAUCCGCGCUGGAUUAGCUAGUUGGUAAGGUAACGGCCUACCAAGGCAACGAUGCAUAGCCGACCUGAGAGGAUGAUCGGCCACACUGGAACUGAGACACGGUCCAGACUCCUACGGGAGGCAGCAGUAGGGAAUCUUGCGCAAUGGGCGAAAGCCUGACGGAGCCACGCCGCGUGAGUGAUGAAGGUCUUCGGAUCGUAAAACUCUGUUAUUAGGGAAGAACAUAUGUGUAAGUAACUGUGCACAUCUUGACGGUACCUAAUCAGAAAGCCACGGCUAACUACGUG